rnacentral:rRNA from 1 species
AUGAUGAGCAUCUAUUGGAGUCGACCAUUUCCAAGAUCUAAUUCUAGUUUCUUAUUAUGUAGUGGAAACGCCUCACAAUCUUCAGUUUUACGCUUACGCUUAAGGGAAGAAAUGUUCUUGGUGGAUGCAGGCCCUGGUACCCCCAAAAUUUGUAUGCAAGAUGAGCUUACAGGAAUGCCAAUCAAGCGAGCCACCAGGUUUGAGAAUAAGGUGGGAUCCAAGAAUGUAGUGGCUGGUGAAUCACUGAUCAAAAAGCGGAUUUUUGAGAGAUUCUUCAUCGAUCUAGUGGCUGGUGAAUCACUGAUCAAAGAGUGA